rnacentral:misc_RNA from 1 species
UUGCUUGGGUUAUAGUUUUGUGGGCUUUAAUGGAUCUGAGCCUAUGUCAUACAGGACCGCCAUGGCCUUAGUCUCAAACACGGGCGGCGCCUUUCUUGCAAUGGCUGCUCUUGGGUUGAGAGAAAAGCUUUCAAAGCUCAUACCACAAUCGAUCCGGCUUGCUUGUGCAGAAGGCCUGGGGCUUUUCAUUUCUUUUGUUGGGUUAGAGGUCCACCAGAGUGUGGGCCUCAUUGGGCCAGAUCCAUCCACUUUGGUGACAGUCACAUCCUGCUCGACAACAAUCCGG